GUACGUAGGGUGCAAGCGUUGUCCGGAAUUAUUGGGCGUAAAGAGCUCGUAGGCGGUUUGUUGCGUCGGCUGUGAAAUCCCGAGGCUCAACCUCGGGUCUGCAGUCGAUACGAGCAAACUAGAGUGUUGCAGGGGAGACUGGAAUUCCUGGUGUAGCGGUGAAAUGCGCAGAUAUCAGGAGGAACACCGGUGGCGAAGGCGGGUCUCUGGGCAACAACUGGCGCUGAGGAGCGAAGGCGUGGGGAGCAAACAGGAUUAGAUACCCUGGUAGUCCACGCCGUAAACGUUGGGCGCUAGGUGUGGGGCUCAUUCCACGAGUUCCGUGCCGCAGCUAACGCAUUAAGCGCCCCGCCUGGGGAGUACGGCCGCAAGGCUAAAACUCAAAGGAAUUGACGGGG
rnacentral:rRNA from 1 species